rnacentral:rRNA from 1 species
AUUGAACGCAGGCGGCAGGCUGAACAAAUGCAAGUCGAUCGGGGGAGGUUGCUUCGGUAAUUGACCUAGCGUCGGACGGUUGAGUGAUAUUUAGGAAUCUGCCUCUUAACUGUGGACAACAUCGAGAGACGAAUGCCAAUACCUCACAGGCCCUACGCGUGAACUCCAGCGAUGCCCCGUCAGCUUCCGUGAGUAGAUCAGCCUAAGUCGGAUUAGCUAGCUGGUGGGGUAAAGGCCUACCAAGGCGACGAUCUGUAGCGGGUCUGAGAGGAUGAUCCGCCACACUGGGACUGAGACACGGCCCAGACUCCUACGGGAGGCAGCAGUGGGGAAUAUUGGACAAUGGGGGGAACCCUGAUCCAGCCAUGCCGCGUGUGUGAAGAAGGCCUUAUGGUUGUAAAGCACUUUAAGCGAGGAGGAGGCUCUUUUGGUUAAUACCCAAGAUGAGUGGACGUUACUCGCAGAAUAAGCACCGGCUAACUCUGUGCCAGCCGCCGCAGUAAGAC